AUUGAACGCUGGCGGCAUGCCUUACACAUGCAAGUCGAACGGUAACGGGCCUUCGGGUGCCGACGAGUGGCGAACGGGUGAGUAAUGCAUCGGAACGUACCUUUCAGUGGGGGAUAACGUAGCGAAAGUUACGCUAAUACCGCAUAUUCUGUGAGCAGGAAAGCAGGGGAUCGCAAGACCUUGCGCUGAUUGAGCGGCCGAUGUCAGAUUAGCUAGUUGGUGAGGUAAAGGCUCACCAAGGCGACGAUCUGUAGCGGGUCUGAGAGGAUGAUCCGCCACACUGGAACGGAGACACGGUCCAGACUCCUACGGGAGGCGGCAGUGGGGAAUUUUGGACAAUGGGGGCAACCCUGAUCCAGCCAUGCCGCGUGAGUGAAGAAGGCCUUCGGGUUGUAAAGCUCUUUCGGCCGGGAAGAAAUCGUAUGGGCUAAUACCCUGUGCGGAUGACGGUACCGGCAUAAGAAGCACCGGCUAACUACGUGCCAGCCGCCGCAGUAAAAC
rnacentral:rRNA from 1 species